AUACGGAGGGGGUUACCGUUGUUCGGAAUUACUGGGCGUAAAGCGCACGUAGGCGGACUGGAAAGUUGGGGGUGAAAUCCCGGGGCUCAACCCCGGAACUGCCUCCAAAACUUCGAAUCUAGAGAUCGAGAAAGGUGAGUGGAAUUCCAAGUGUAGAGGUGAAAUUCGUAGAUAUUUGGAGGAACACCAGUGGCGAAGGCGGCUCACUGGCUCGAUACUGACGCUGGGGUGCGAAAGCGUGGGGAGCAAACAGGAUUAGAAAUCCUAGUAGUCC
rnacentral:rRNA from 1 species